GAUGAACGCUGGCGGCGUGCUUAACACAUGCAAGUCGAACGAAGCACUUUAACCUGAUUCUUCGGAUGAAGGUUUUUGUGACUGAGUGGCGGACGGGUGAGUAACGCGUGGGUAACCUGCCUCAUACAGGGGGAUAACAGUUAGAAAUGACUGCUAAUACCGCAUAAGACCACGGAGCCGCAUGGCUCAGUGGGAAAAACUCCGGUGGUAUGAGAUGGACCCGCGUCUGAUUAGGUAGUUGGUGGGGUAACGGCCUACCAAGCCAACGAUCAGUAGCCGACCUGAGAGGGUGACCGGCCACAUUGGGACUGAGACACGGCCCAAACUCCUACGGGAGGCAGCAGUGGGGAAUAUCGCACAAUGGGGGGAACCCUGAUGCGGCGACGCCGCGUGAGCGAAGAAGUAUUUCGGUAUGUAAAGCUUUAUCAGCAGGGAAGAAAAUGACGGUACCUGACUAAGAAGCACCGGCUAAAUACGUGCCAGCAGCCGCGGUAAUACGUAUGGUGCAAGCGUUAUCCGGAUUUACUGGGUGUAAAGGGAGCGUAGACGGCUGUGUAAGUCUGAAGUGAAAGCCCGGGGCUCAACCCCGGGACUGCUUUGGAAACUAUGCAGCUAGAGUGUCGGAGAGGUAAGUGGAAUUCCCAGUGUAGCGGUGAAAUGCGUAGAUAUUGGGAGGAACACCAGUGGCGAAGGCGGCUUACUGGACGAUGACUGACGUUGAGGCUCGAAAGCGUGGGGAGCAAACAGGAUCUGAUACCCUGGUAGUCCACGCCGUAAACGAUGACUACUAGGUGUCGGGGAGCAAAGCUCUUCGGUGCCGCAGCAAACGCAAUAAGUAGUCCACCUGGGGAGUACGUUCGCAAGAAUGAAACUCAAAGGAAUUGACGGGGACCCGCACAAGCGGUGGAGCAUGUGGUUUAAUUCGAAGCAACGCGAAGAACCUUACCUGCUCUUGACAUCCCGGUGACCGGCAUGUAAUGAUGCCUUUUCUUCGGAACACCGGUGACAGGUGGUGCAUGGUUGUCGUCAGCUCGUGUCGUGAGAUGUUGGGUUAAGUCCCGCAACGAGCGCAACCCUUAUCUUCAGUAGCCAGCAUUUUGGAUGGGCACUCUGGAGAGACUGCCAGGGAUAACCUGGAGGAAGGUGGGGAGGACGUCAAAUCAUCAUGCCCCCUAUGAGCAGGGCUACACACGUGCUACAAUGGCGUAAACAAAGGGAAGCGAGCCUGCGAGGGUAAGCAAAUCUCAAAAAUAACGUCUCAGUUCGGAUUGUAGUCUGCAACUCGACUACAUGAAGCUGGAAUCGCUAGUAAUCGCAGAUCAGAAUGCUGCGGUGAAUACGUUCCCGGGUCUUGCAC
rnacentral:rRNA from 1 species